ensembl:lncRNA
GUAAACAAUUACUAAAUGAACCAGCAGAGGGCAUGUGUCAGGUAAUUUUAGAUAAAUUACAUUCCCAGUUGAGAAAUUUAGUAAACAAAGCUCUGUAGAGUCGAAAUAAUGACAUUGGUGAGGUUUGAUGUCCCUCAUACAAUCAGUGCCUGUAGAGUAAUUCAGCGCAUCGUGCUUAUUAAAAUAAUGGAACAAAAAUUGAUACUUGAAAUUAAUGCAGUCAUUUGGUAGAUGAGCAUAUCAGAGGCAAACUGUUAUGAUUGCGUACAUUUGCUGUAAAUCCAGAGGGGCGAGGGAGAUGUUUUCCUUCAAGGCCGAAUAACAACAGGGAUGGGGAUCCCAGGAGGAACGUUGUGCUCUGAAGUAUUAAGCUAAAUACACUGGAGAGAAUAUUCGCUCAUCCCAAAGUGUCCUUGAGGAGAAAAAGGCUCUAGUCUCCAGGGUGAUCUCUGUGCAGCAGCCCUAGAUGGAGCGGGGGGUUUAUGCCACCUUUGUGCGUCAGUGGCCUGAUGAGCCUUGUUGUCCAUUUGUGAUGAAGAUUAUGUGGGACUUUCCUCAUAAAGGCUUCCAGGUAGAAGAGCAGCUCCCACCCAGUGUCCUGUCAGCGUACCCCUGGAUCCUCCUGGCUCUCUGACACGGAAUCUAGGGAAGAGAAACAAACCCUUCAAGCGUUGCUGAAAGAUCGCAUCACUAGGUGUGAGUCUCCAGAAAGAUAACCUGAAUCUCUGGAGUGAUAGAUGUGUGAUAGCCUGUUCAUGGUAGUUUUUUGACUUUCCAUUUGGAGAAGAGUGGCUGUCUCAAGGUUUUCUGUUGCAUAGGAGGUUUUUGUACUGUAGGUGGAGAUUUCACGUGGCAUGCAGAUUGAUGCCAGAGUACUGAACUUGAAAUCCAAGUCCUGGUCCCAGUCUAGGUCAAAGGAGAAGUUCGUCAUGGAGAUGGCAUCAAGCUCAGUUCUGGUCUCUGUGUCUUCCUCCUCAGCAUACACAUGAGGAGCAUAAUCACCCAGCUCCUCUUCCAGUGUCUGAAGAUUGAACAGCUUCUGCAUUAUACAGAAGGAAAAAAAAUAGAAGAUGAGAAGUUUUAGUCUUUUUAAAGAAAGAAACAGACUUAUCCUAGCUUGGUAGGGUUGAUUAAAUUAUUGUCAUUACCAUAUUUAGUGCUUGGGACAGAAAUUCACGGUGGACGCCAAUUUCAUAUUCUGUAGAAUAUUUAAUGGCUUUCAUCUGAGAAAUAAGAAGCAGUUAGUUAUAUGAUUUUAGUUGUUCAGUAAAUAACAUCAGAAGUCAGCUGUAACAUUUCAUAGUUAAAGCACAAUCUUUAUUAAACAAAGCUGUUUGCAGAGGAUCCAUGGAGAUGAGGUAUUUAUUUGUGGCUAUGUAAGAUUAAUACAUGUAAAAUUAACUUAUCCAACCCAAAUAAAUUUUGAAUCCUCCCCAGCAGCAUAAGAAGUAACUAUAAUAACUAUGCAGAAAUUGCUGAUGGUCUUUUUGCUUAUGCAGGACAUAUAGAGGCAUCAUUGUUAAAUUGAGGCAGUAGUAUGUUUUAACUCAAGGGAUAUAAAAACAUUAGAUGAUGAAAGAUUAAACAGGAAAAGGGCUCAUAGUAGUGUAGAUUGCAGUACCUUGCGCAUAAAUGAGUUUCUGCUCUGAUCUGUGGUUCUCAUGGUUGAUGAGGUACCUGUUGACUGUAAAUUCAAACAUUUCAGUUGUUAAUACGGUGCCGAAAUGGCAGCUUUUCUAAAACUUCUCAGUAUUACUUAGAUUUAAUAGUAAUGAUAAUAAUAUAGGUACCGAACGCCAGAAAUUCCCCCGUAUGAACUGUUGUCCCCCGACGCCCCACUGGUCUUGUGAUGUCUGAUUUUGCUGAGAAAAGCAAAUAUAAUUAAUGUCAUACCAUGACAAACAUCUUACUUAUAAAAUAAUUUUCAUUAGUGUCCGUUUGUUAGAACAAAUUAGUUUAUGUUUGGAUUUGUGGUUCUCAUGGUUGAUGCGGUAACUGUUGACUAGAAAUUCAAACAUUUCAGUGGUUAAUUGCUGAUGGUCUUUUUGCUUAUGCAGGACAUAUAGAGGCAUCAUUGUUAAAUUGAGGCAGUAGUAUGUUUUAACUCAAGGGAUAUAAAAACAUUAGAUGAUGAAAGAUUAAACAGGAAAAGGGCUCAUAGUAGUGUAGAUUGCAGUACCUUGCGCAUAAAUGAGUUUCUGCUCUGAUCUGUGGUUCUCAUGGUUGAUGAGGUACCUGUUGACUGUAAAUCCAAACAUUUCAGUUGUUAAUACGGUGCCGAAAUGUCAGCUUUUCUAAAACUUCUUAGUAUUACUUAGAUUUAAUAGUAAUGAUAAUAAUAUAGGUACCGAACGCCAGAAAUUCCCCCGUAUGAACUGUUGUCCCCCGACGCCCCACUGGUCUUGUGAUGUCUGAUUUUGCUGAGAAAAGCAAAUAUAAUUAAUGUCAUACCAUGACAAACAUCUUACUUAUAAAAUAAUUUUCAUUAGUGUCCGUUUGUUAGAACAAAUUAGUUUAUGUUUGGAUUUGUGGUUCUCAUGGUUGAUGCAGUAACUGUUGACUAGAAAUUCAAACAUUUCAGUGGUUAAUACGGUACCAAAACUGCAGCUUUCUUCAAUUGUUCUCAGUAUUACUCAGAUUCAAUAGUUAUAAUGACAAUGAUUAUAAAAACUACAGCAACAACUAUAAAGAUAAUAGUAUCAGUCUUGUGAUGUCUGAUUUUGCUGAGGAAAUCGAAUAUAAUUAAUGUCAUACCAUGACAAACAUCUUACUCCAUGGGUCCAUUUGUUAGAAUAAGCCUGGCAACGUAUUCCGUAUUUUUCUAGUUGUCAAAGCAAAAUACCUAAGCCAAGAGUUGGUUAGUCUGUCUUUCCGACUUUCCGACUUUUCCUGUCUGUUAAUUAAUCCCAGGCUCACGUGUUCUGAAUGAAAACGUAAAUAAAAAGUGUUUCAAAUCUUUACCGAAUAUGUGCUAUCAUUUUCGGGAAAUCCAAAGGUUCGCUAGAACAGCUGAGUACUGUGGUUUGUAGCAAACAUACAUGAACUGUAGUAAACAGUAAAUCAUUUAUUUAAGACUGUUUUCAGUUGAGGUUUGGUAUGCUGCGAGUAUUCACCAGCAAGAUGGUGCGUGUAUGAUUGACUCAAUGUGCAUUGUAGUGGCAGAGCAUUCUUCUCAGUGCAGUCUUUAUAUUAGUUAUUAACAAUGGAGGUCUAUGGCAAAGGGGAUAAGCUAUAUCAGGCUUUGGCUACUGUACACAGACAGUACUUGUUAGUAGGAUCAACAGGGUGCAGUUUAAAAAAAAAUAAAGAUAUAACCCAUUACCCAUAACUCCAUUUCGGAUAUUUUGUCAUUUGAAUGGGCUGCUCCCGCCGCCAUGUUGCCUGUCUGAAAAAAAAAGGCAUUUUAAGUCAAGUAAUGAUCACACGUAAUAAACUGGGGAAAAAAGUAUUUUAUGAUGCAAAAACGGAUUAAGAAAAGUUUGCUCAGCACUUACUCCAUUUGGAAUCAGAGCUGGAACUUGAGUCAUUGGUUGGUCUAGUUUCAUAAAGAUCACCUGUUGAAAAUUUGAAUACAGAAUCUGAAGUCUUUACAGCACCAGGUCAAAAUUAUUUUAGUGUGUAGAAUACUACACAUUCAGGAAAGCAAAAUUACAUUGCUUG